GAUGAACGCUGGCGGCGUGCCUAAUACAUGCAAGUCGAGCGAACGGACGAGAAGCUUGCUUCUCUGAUGUUAGCGGCGGACGGGUGAGUAACACGUGGAUAACCUACCUAUAAGACUGGGAUAACUUCGGGAAACCGGAGCUAAUACCGGAUAAUAUUUUGAACCGCAUGGUUCAAAAGUGAAAGACGGUCUUGCUGUCACUUAUAGAUGGAUCCGCGCUGCAUUAGCUAGUUGGUAAGGUAACGGCUUACCAAGGCAACGAUGCAUCGCCGACCUGAGAGGGUGAUCGGCCACACUGGAACUUAGACACGGUCCAGACUCCUACGGGAGGCAGCAGUAGGGAAUCUUCCGCAAUGGGCGAAAGCCUGACGGAGCAACGCCGCGUGAGUGAUGAAGGUCUUCGGAUCGUAAAACUCUGUUAUUAGGGAAGAACAUAUGUGUAAGUAACUGUGCACAUCUUGACGGUACCUAAUCAGAAAGCCACGGCUAACUACGUG
rnacentral:rRNA from 1 species